AACGCAUCUUGCGCUCCUUGGUAUUCCGAGGAGCAUGCCUGUUUGAGUGUCAUUAAAUUCUCAACUUUACCGGCUUUGCUGCUGGUAAGGCUUGGAUGUGGGGGUUUUUGCAGGCUUUCACAAGUCAGCUCCCCUGAAAUGCAUUAGCGGUACCCUUGUGGUAAACGGCUAUUGGUGUGAUAAUUAUCUACGCCAUUCGGUCGCCCACAUAUUAUAAAAGGGUUAUGCUGCUUCUAACAGUCCAUUGACUUGGACAAUACAAUGACAAUUUUGGCCUCAAAUCAGGUAGGACUACCCGCUGAACUUAA
rnacentral:misc_RNA from 1 species